UAGGGGGAAAAAGGGGAAGGGCAGAUAGCUCUAUAUACACAAAGAGGAAGGUCUCAGUAGAGCAGCCUGUGUGUCUUCUCCGCUGCUGGAGCUCAUCUUGACUGGCCAGGGCUGGUUCCUAAGAAGGAUCCCAGGCACCCAGAGCCUCCUGGGUUUGGAUGUGAGAGGAAAGUCCUGUGACCUCCUUUGCCUCUCCCAUGUCUGGAGAGAAGCUGUAUUUCCGGCUAAUCCAGGAGCGACAGCUCCAGGGUGCACCCCAGGUUCUGACAUGGGGACUUGCAGGACCCCCCCAGGUUGGACCCUGAUGUGCCUGGCACCCCUUGUGAACCCAAGACCUCAACUUCAGCUUCUCCGCACAGCAGCCGUGGCCAGCUGUCAGCCGCCACCUCCUCCGAGAGGCUGGAAUUCCUCGGGCAGAUUUCUCACCCUCGCAGGACUUCCUUCCAGCGUGUCUGGCAAGUGAGAGGGCUUCGCAGGCCCCAGAAGAGGCUUGUGGCAGAGAGGGCUUUGAAAGGGAGAGGAGGAGGGAGGGUAUUGCUGUUACAGCCCAAGCCUUAGGCCCCCGCUGUGGACGUCAGGUGGCCCAUGUCUGGAAACACCCAGCGCUAUGCCCACGUGGUGACUCUUGGGCGGCCCAGGCGGGGUGUGCAGGGGCAGGGCCUCAGAGAAGAGAGAAGGAGAAGGGGAAGACCGAGGGCUGGGGGUGGUGGUGGAGAGGCCACUGAGGACAGGGAGUGGAACAACCUUGCAGAGAGUGGUGCAGGGAGAAGUUACUAGAAUGGCAGCACCCUCUCCUGCCACCCAGGCGACACCUCUCGCGGAACCCACCUCUGCGAGGGAGCCCUCAACUUCCUCCCGGCCUGACCUGCCUGCUCGAGGGUUUCCACGGUCACAAAGUUACCUCAGGGACUAGAAAAGAACCAUCUUUUUGGCCUGGAGCCUCUGAGGUGGGGCCUCCUCGGCGUCAGUCACAGCCAAGAUGGGGAGGGAGAGCUUUCAGGAAAGUCCCUGUCAGCUGUGGCCGCUUCUUCUCUGGCUAUGAAUGUUCCUGGCAUGAUGGCGUUCAGAUGCUAACUCUCUUGUGGGUUCACCACAGGGCCACCUCGCACCACUGUUCCCUGAUGUGAGAGGUCCCUUCAGCUCUAUAUCUCUCACCCCACCACUCAGCCACUGCCCCAACCUCCACCCGACAGCCUACCGACUGUGGGUCUGCACAGCUGCAGCCCUCCCUCUUGGGAGGACAUGGACAAGACAGCUCAGGGACAUGCGCCUUCCGCCAUGUCCACCUGACCCAUGGGCAACGACUGCUGGGUGCCCCAAGGAGUCCCUGCCGUGUCUGUCUCUGCCUCUUCAAUCCUGCCCUCCCCCAACCUCCCUGUCCAGAUGGCGCGUGGGCUGAUCUCAACAGCAAAUCCAGAUCCAGGGAGAGGAGGGGAGGGAGUCAGCACCCCAGGACUCCAGUGACCCCAUCUCCCUCUCUCUUCCUUCCCCUUUCCUGGUCUUCUGCUUAUGGAGACUGAGGAAGGGGGUGCUGGGAGAUUUGGGGGCAUAGCAGAAUUGCUUUAACCAUCUCUUAAUAAAUCCUGUAGGCAAAUGGGCCUAGUCUCAAAUGGUUCCUUUGUUUUAGAAUAUGGGGUACUCAAGGCCCUUUUUCCUUAGCUCUGAGUCCGGCCACCCAUUCGAGCAGCAGAAAAGGCCCACCCAGUACCCUCUGGCACUAGAGCAUGGGCUGCCUCUCCCCUCGCAUGUGUGGUCCACGAGAGCAGGGUCCUGUGUGUCUGUCCCCACUGGAUCCUCAAUGCCUAGUCAGUGUCUAGGACACAGAGGGUGCUCCACAAAUAGAUGACAAGCAAAUCCCUCUAGGACCUAAAUGGCUGGAACGGCUGCCAAUAUAGUCAAGUAGGCCAGCUGGCUCCUUUCUACCCAUUCCUGCUGCGAGGCUCCUGCCCACGGAUGUGGAGUUUUGCUUCUGGCUUCCAGGAGCUUUUCUGGUUUCUGUCUUGCUCUCUACAGGGGUCACUGGCCUGGGUCGGGAGGCUGCCCGCCAUGUGGGUGACCUUAUGGAGCCAAAAGCCUUGAAGAUGCUACCGGGCCUGGGUUGGGGUCCUCAGGGCUGAGCUAGAGGCCUGGCCAGUGGGAGGGGAUGGGUGCUCUUCCCAGCUCACAGUGGGUCAAAGGCAACAGCUCAGAACAGCUGCAGCUAAAGAGAGGAGAGGCAGGAGAGGAAGUGCAUUUCUUUGGCAAAGUAUGUCUCCUGGGGCUGACUCACACCCGUCUAUGACCACAGCCAGAAGCACAUUCUGACCAGCGUGUCCUGCAGAGUCCCCAGGCCUCGGUGAACAGGGCACCAAGGACAGCUGCCUCAGCAGGGCCACCCCACUCCGCUGGACAUCCCCAGCUCCCCUCAAAGCUCCAGGCAGGCCCCUGUGCCCCUGGGUCCCUGUGGGUUUCUCCUCAGCAGCCUCAAAUGAGGAAGUGAGGCUGAGGAGAGAAUGGGGGAACUUCUCUUCCCCCAAUACAUAUAACAGCAUAUAACAUCAAAGACACAGACACACACACACACACACACACACACACACACACACCCCUUGCAGGUCAGAAGCAGAGCGGAGUUUGAUAGUAAGUGGUUUGGAUUAAAAAAAAAUAGGCCUGGCAUGGUGGUUCAUGCCUGUCAUCCCAGCACUUUGGGAGGCUGAGGUGGGUGGAUCACUUGAGGUCAGGAGUUCAAGACCAGCUUGGUCAACAUGGUGAAACCCUGUCUCUACUAAAAAUACAAAAAUUAGCCGGGCAUGGUGGCGCACGCCUGUAAUCCCAGCUACUCAGAAGGCUGAGGCAGGAGAAUCGCUUGAACCUGGGAGGUGGAGGUUGCAGUGAGCCGAGAUUGUGGCACUGCACUCCAGCCUGGGCGACAGAAGGAGACUCCGUCUCAGAAAAAAAAACCAUAAAAAAAUAAUAAGAAGAUUUAUUUUUUUCCUGCCAAAGCACUGAGGAGGAAGACGGAAGGAACUGGGGGGUAAAAGGCAGAGAAAUCCGGGCAGCAUCUGCUGGUCCUUGUGUCUGUUCAGCAGCCCGAGCAGGCUGUACGUGCUGCCGUUCAGCGCCCUGAGACCCAGCCCAAGAUAUCUAUCAGGAGGGCCGGAGGAGUUCGGGAGUCCUUGCGGCACUGGGCUGGGGCAGCCCUAAGCCCUGGGAGAGGAGGAGAUUGUGCUCUUGAUGCUGUUAAAAAGUGGCUGGGACCAGCCUCUCCUCAACUUUGGAAACAAAACUACAUCUUGGGAGCUCCUCGUUAGGGAAGGGGCGACCCCAGGGUGCUGUAGAAGCAGGUUGGGCGACCUCCGGGGCAGCCUUGAAGUGGCCUCCACAGGAACAGUCUCCAGUGACCACCCAGGGCCACUGAGACUUGAGCCUGGGCCCCAGUAGAAAUGUGUCAAAGCCAGAAGAGCCAUCUAGCCAGGCCCCUCAGGUCAGAGAUGAAACGUGAAGGCAGAGGGAAGCCCAGUGCCACUCGGUGAGUUAUAGACAAAGCCAGGCCUCUGACCCCCGCUUCAGUGCUCUUAACUCUCCAUCAGCCAUUUCACCUUCUUGGGCCUAAGUGUCCUCAGCUGUCAAAAGGAGGAAGGAAGGAGCAAGCUAACAUGUUGUCGUGAGCUGUGACAUGCCCUCUCGUCGACUGAGCGAGGCUUUUGAGAUAAGGAAACUGAGGCUCGGAGAAGGUGCUGUGCUCUUCCUGUUACACCCCGAUCCCUGGGUCUGUCUGGCUUCCGUUCCCGGCUGACGCUCACUGCCCCGGAAGACACACCCGCUAGAUCAGCGUUUCCACACUAGAAUACUUUAUUCAAGAGAAUCUGGCUUGGCAGUCAGAUGGCCCUGCAGGGACAGCUUGUGGGGGUGCCAGGGCCCUUGGGGAACCUGCUCCCCUGCCACUGCCUUCAGCUGGGACGCACAGGCUCCUCCCCUGGUGACCUCAUCCCCACUGGCUGAGCUGUUUCUCAUCCAGGCAGCUUUCUCCAGCCCGGGGCCCACUCUGUAUGUGUCUCUUAGAGGGGGCAGGGUGGUGGCACCUUGGCCGGAAAGAACAAUGUCCCAGCACAAGCAAAUGGCAAAGUGUGAGGGGAGAUCACGGGGGACAAGGAGUGGCAAAAGCCCCCAGGCAACCACUGUUCUCCAGAGCUGAAUGUUCUGAUCUUCAGAAGAAGAGGGGGAAGUGGCUGGAUCCCCUCCGCCCGCUGCCGGCCUUCCCACCAGCCAGGCCGUGGCGGCCCCAGCAGGAUCCGCAUCCCUACUUUGGACAGGAGCUCCGAAAGCAAGGGCUGCUUGUCUGUGCAGAGCCUGAGGCCCAAGAACAGGUAGCAGGGCCCCCUUCUUUCCUUCUGCAGGCCCCUGGAGACCUCCAGGGCCUCUGGGGACUAGCUUGCCCCUCACGAGGCCACGUGUCUUGCUUCUUCCAAAGCGGAAGCUCCCAGGGGUCUGUGGCUGGCUUCUCUCUUUCUCUCACGUUGUUGAAGGCACUGAAUUCCUGAGGGUCCUGUCCUUCCCUGCCCCUCGUCUUGAAGGGAGCGAGGCAUUCAGCAGGGAAACAGUCGGCUAAUAAAUAGAGGGCAGGUACCAGCAGGAGUCACUGAAGAGUGUGACGGUAAUAAAUACACGAGCCGGGUGCGGGGUCUCUCUCCUCCAAGGGGCGGGUUACCUCCGAGGAACAGCAUCGCCGCACCUGCCAGAGACCAAGCACAGACGGGGCGGGUAUCAGCACACUGUGGAGGGUGCGGUCUCCUCCUGUGGAGGAGGGGGCAGGCCCAGAGGAGGAGCUUGGGCAGGGAGCAUGGGGAGGGCGCAGCGCUCCUGGGUCCCUGCUUGCCUCAAGCUGAGGAGAAGCUGGGAGCUACCCUUCACCAAACACUUACCCAUGUGCCCAGCCCUGUGCCAAGCACUGUCUUCUUAACCCUCAACAACCUUCCAUCAGGAAGGCACCCUGAUUAUUCUUGUGAAGAUUAGGAAACUGAGGCCCAGAGAGGUGAAGAAGCUUGCCUGUGGUCACACGGCCAGUCGGUGACAGAGCCACAUUUGAACCUAAUCACACUCCAUGCAAUCAUGCCUCUGAUUACCCUAAGACAGCAGUCUCCAAACAGGGGAGUACCGCUAGACGCACGUGAGGCCUGAGUACCGACGGUUUUAAAGAAAUCCAUUUUCAGCCUCCAGGUCUACAUUGCCUUAAAAUUAUUUUUGUGAGGCAGUGGCUGAGAUCUGCUUCUCUGGCCACAACACAUCUUGCUCAUUCUAAAUCCUCAUAAAGUGCUUUGCUGCCAGGUAAAAGUAUUCUGAGGACAUGAAAAAAAGAACAAUUUGAGAUAUUGAUGUAGGUCUUGAGAAAGAAAAUAUGGCUAAUGACUGGGUAACCAAGGCUUUCAACAAAACUGAAGAACAGCUUAACCAAAUCGUCAGCCAGGAUAUCAUGAGAAGUAAUUUGUUCUUAGCAGAGCACCUUGAGAUUUCUGGCAAAUAACUUGGAAGGAAGGAGUUCAAGUAAUUGAGUGACAUCUAGUCUCAUUUACUUAUUUAUGUGAACAUGGUUUCUCAACCUUCUCAUCAAUAAAAAAAUGAUAAACAGGAAUUAAAUUAAUGCAGAAUCCUGUCUCAGUCUGGCAGGAAGUAACAUUCAUUAAUGGAUUCAUUCACUAAUUGAAACGAGGUAGCCACAUCCAUCUCGUUGAGAUGCAUUCCCAAUCAAAUUGAUUGUAUUUUUAUGUUAAACAUCUAUUAAAAUAGGACGUAUUUGUGCUGUUUUGACCAAAUGGUGCUACUAAGAAUUAUUUUGAUAAUUUAUUCCAGGAGAAAAUUUAAUUUAGGUUUAUGCUCACAGGAAAUUUAAAAUAAUUCAAACUCAUAUAUCAUUUUUUUGUGGCAGAUAAAUAUGACAAGGUAAUCAAUAAAAGACUUCUGAAAAUUAAAAGUACUGUUACACUAGGCUGAAAUUCUUGGGGGUGGGGAGUGAAAUGGAAAUACAAGUUCCAGGAAAAAAGAAACAACGUAAAUAUAUAAUUAUGAAAGGAAGUGUUCCUGUAUUUUUUUUUUUUUUGCUUGUUAAUUUUCUUUUUUUUUUUUUUUGAGACGGAGUCUUGCUGUCCCAGGCUGGAGUGCAGUGGCGUGAUCUCGGCUCACUGCAAGUUCCGCCUCCCGGGUUCACGCCAUUCUCCUGCCUCAGCCUCCCGAGUAGCUGGGACUAUAGGCACCCACCACCACACCCGGCUAAUUUUUUGUAUUUUUAGUACAGACGGGGUUUCACCAUGUUAGCCAGGAUGGUCUCGAUCUCCUAACCUUGCGAUCCGCCCGCCUUGGCCUCCAAAAGUGCUGGGAUUACAGGUGUGAGCCACCGCACCUGACCUGCUUGUUCAUUUUCUUAAAAGUGGAUGAUGGUUCUUACUCUGUCACCCAGGCUGAAGUGCAAUGGAUCUAUCUCGGCUCACUGCAGCCUUGACCUCCCAGGCUCAGGUGAUCAUUCCACCUCAGCCUCCUGAGUAGUUGGGACUACAGGCACAUGGCACCACGUCCAGCUAGUUUUUGUAUUUUUUUUGUAGAGACGAGGUUUCACCAUGUUGCCCCGGCUGGGCUUGAACUCCUGGCCUCAAGCGAUCCACUCGCCUUGGCCUCCCAAAGUGCUAGAAUUACAGGCAUGAGGUACUGAGCCUGGCUUGACUUAUAAUUCUGAUGAAAAUGUUCAAUGUCAACUUAAGAAUGGGCAAGGGAGCACAUGGGCUUUUGGAAUUCUUUUUUUUUUUUUUUUUUUGAGACGGAGUCUUGCUCUGUCACCCAGGCUGGAGUGCAGUGGCAUGAUCUCGGCUCACUGCAACCUCCGCCUCCCGGGUUCAAGCGAUUCUCCUGCCCCAGCCUCCCAAGUAGCUGAGAUUACAGGCAUGCACCAACACGCCCAGCUAAUUUUGUAUUUUUAGUAGAGAUGUGGUUUCACCGUGUUGGUCAGGCUGGCCUCGAACUUCUGACCUCAAGUGAUCUACCCACCUCGGCCUCCCAAAGUGCUGGGAUUACAGGUGUGAGCCACCGCGCCCGGCCACUUUUGAAAUUCUUUCAGGAGAUUCCCGAGUGAAAUGUCUGAAGACUGCUGCCUUGGGAACAGGAGCCAUGGGACACUUUCUGCCUCCGGCUGCCGGCGGGUAACUCGGGCCUGGAUGGACUUCCCUGCCAGCUUGUUCCCCAAAUUGCCGCGCGGGCCCAGAAAAGAGAUGAGAGCAUAAACCCCUAGGGGGCGCAGUCCCCAGGAUCCCUGUCUUCAUGGAGUGGGGCUCAUGGGGUCAGGGCUUGGGUCAACUCCACUCCAUAGCACGAAAUGACUUCCUGGAGUCAUGUGCGUGGGGGAGGCUUAGCCCCUGAAGGAGAGCCACCUCUCUUCAGUGACUGAUUGACUGUGCAUGUGAAAUAUUUUAUUUUUUCUAUUUACUCUCACAGAUUUGGGUUUUCCCUCCUCUCAUCCUUCUCUCCCAGCCACACUCAGGCCUGGGGCUCCAUUCUGCUGCCCACAAGGUACGAAGUGGGUUAGAAGCAGCAAGGGGACCCACAGGCAAAAAUACUCCUGGGAGACAGUGGCGAGGGGCACAUGUUCCCCGGGGCUACUAGGAAGUGGCCCCAGAUAACGUCUCAGCUGAUGACAGACUUUUAAUCACUAAAAGGUAAACACUAAUGUGCAGGAAUCCUGUUUGUUUGCUCACAGAUGUACCUGACACACAGUAAGUGCUCAGUAAAUGUUUGUAGAGUGACUGAAUGUUUGCUGGACCUCCUGCCCCUCAUUCUACACAGAGAAAAGCUAGGCUGACAAAGGUGAAAUGAUUUGUUCAAGGUCAAUGGAAACCUAGGGCUAAGCCGGGACAAAAACCAAGGUCCACUGAUGCUUCCUGGGCCCUACAGUCUUGAGGAGGUGCAGCUCCCUGUUCUGCCCCCAAGACUGGCCUCAGUCCUGCCUCUCCCCCUCCCCAACCUAACCCUGGCGGCAAGGCGGGGCUCCCCUCGGGCCCAGCCUCCUCGCCAUCCCUGGGACCCCGCACACUCACAGGUGGCAGUCUGUGGGUCUCUGCUUCUCUCUCCUCCUCUUCCCCCUGCCCUUGGGUCUCCUCCUGCAAUAAGCCAAGCGUCAGGACAAGGUGGCUGGGGAACCCCAUGCUAGGACAGAGGCUGGCAGGCCCGAGAAUAGCCCCGAGCCCCAGCCAAACCACUUACCUUUCCGGCUUCAUCUUCUCCCGCAGAGGCCUAGGGAAACAGACAGAGAGAGGGGCAGAGGAACGUUAGGAAAGCAAUAAGUGGGGCUCCCUGCCGCCCGGACAGGUCCCCUCCGACAUCCCCAGUCCUGGUCCUGCAGCUGACACUGAGGCCACUAGGGGGUAGCAUGGAGUUGGCAAGGGAGAGGUGGCCAGAGCCUCAAGGCUUCACUCCCACUCCAGGCUCUGGUGACCCCACCACGAGAGGGACAAAUCAACCUCCUGGGGACCCCUGCCACCCGCUUCUGCACUUCUCAGCCUCUUGGCAUCAAAUUUGGUCGUUUCUGUCUGUUCUCUGUUGCUUUUUCUUUCUCACUUUCUUUGCUGCUUUUUUCCGUUCCUUCCAGGGUGCAUUCUGGGAAUUUCCUCAGGGACAGGAGAUGAUGGCCAGACAGCGGACUGGCUGCCUGUCAGGGCACAGCCCCACUCCAUCCGGAACAACAUGGGGAGUGAGCGACGGGGUGGGAGGAAGGGAGGGAGCAUCAGCCCUGAAGUCACCAGGCAUGUCUGGGCUCUGCGUCCCAGGGCUGUGGCUGUUGGCCCAGAAGCAAGAAGAAAGGUGUCCCUGUUGCCUGGCCCCUGGCAGGGGACAGGGCCUCAGUCUUCACUGGGAACAGUGGGUAGAGACAUGGGACAGCAUGGUAGCAGUCAGCUUUGGGGCCAGGACAUGCUACCCUCAGCUGGUUCCUCCCUUGGGAGCCAGGGCAAGGUACCAGGGCCUCUUGGGACUGUCUGGUUGUACCUCUCCAUAUUGGGCAAGUGACAGACACUCUUGGAACCUCAGUCUCUUCAUCUGCCUGCCCCAAAAGAGUGGCUGUCAGUGCAAAGGGGAUGGAGAAGGUGACUCUGGGUCACCACCCAGCAUUGCACCCAGGAGGGUUCAUUACCGAGCUCCUGUUAUAUGGCUAAGCUCUGGCUUGGAGGGAUGGGUGGAAACAAGUUGAGGCAGGGUCUCCAACACUCCAACAAAAGGGGCAGCCAUAGCCCUGCCCAGGAGGCAAGGCUAAGCCUGGGGGCUAUUAGAAAAGUGGUCAUGGCUGUGAAAGGUAGCCUGAAAAACGAAGGCUUACGAGUUAGGUCAGGGCCCAGAAUCCCUCCUCCCACACUCACUAGCUGUGAUAAAUCAUGAAACUGUAUUGAGCCUUGAUUUUCUCAUCUGUAAAAUGGGGAUGACAAUAGGGCCUACCUCCCAGGGUUGUUAUGAGAGCAGGAACCUUGCUCACCACUGCAUCCCAUCAGGACAAUGCCUGGCAUGUGGUAGGUGCUCAAUAAAUGUAUGUGACUAAAUGAGAAACAUUCAAGUGCCUCCUGCGGGGCUAGGCACAGAAUAGGUACACAAUAACUGGUAGUCCUUCCCUCCUGCCGCCCCUGGCUAGGGCUCUGGACUUCUAGUCUGGUGCCUUCAUCCAUGGCCCAGUAGUACCAGGAGCAGCAGCUCAGCCCAUUUCUCUCUUCCCUGAACCUAGUUGGCAGUGCCAGGCCUGUUGCUCCUGCUAACCAAUGUUCCAAGUGCCCCCAGCACAGGCAGCAAGACUGGUGCUGGUCAGAGGCUCUGUGGAUUGGGAGGGGCCGUAGAGGGGUGCUGCAACAUCAAGGAAGCCACAGUGUCACUCUUCUUCUGCCCCUUUUCUCCUACCCGAGCUUGUCCUUCUUGCUGCUUCUCAGCCCGGUUUGCCCGCUCCUGUGGGCACACAGCUUGGCCCAGAACGAAGUUCAGACUUGCAAUGUCUUUGCCUCCAGGCACCUCUUUCAGAGGCCCGUGGCAGCUGCCUCCCAUCCCAGAGAAGGGGAACGACACGCACCGAACCCCUGCGAGGCUGGGAGGGACCCACCCUCUCUCUUCCCUUGCAGUAUCUCAACAGCUGUACCCCAGCUGCUGGGACCAGCUCCCUUGGCAAAACUGGCUGGUGGGGGGGACAAAAUGAAUGGUAGCCACCCCUGGUCCUGCCCUCUUGGUCUCCCUCAGUCUGGAAAAAAGUUCAGCCCGCAGCGGGGAUGGGCAGCCUUUGCCUCUGCCCUGGGACCCAUCUUUGCUGAAGCUGCCAAGAGGACGGGGGCCUUUCCUUGCUACCCACCCCACCCCGGAGACCUACCGGCAUUCGCAGCGAACGUGCUGAGAGAACGUCAGUUCCACGUAGGAGGGCCGGGCCCCAGAACGGAUCUUUAGGAGCUGAAGGAAGAAAGAGUUGAUGCCUGGAUUGGGGAGUGGCCCAUGAGUUUCCGGCACUCUUCUCUCUCUCCUUGUAAGGAGAACCCGACUCUGUUUCCUGCUAGCCUGUGGACUACAGGCCCUCACUCCACUCUGAAUGUGGGGCAAACAGCUCUCUCAGCUGCAUGGGGAUCUGAGGGAGGCCCCUGUCCCUCCCUGCCCGGGAGCACUAGCACAGCAAUAGCACAGGAAGGGGGCUCAUGUUCUGGAGUCAGAGAGACCCGUGUUCAGAUCUUGACUCUUUUACCUGCUGAACAAGUGAAAUAACAUCUCUGAACCUUGAGUUCCCCAUCUGUGAAAUGGGAAUGACACCAGCCUUGAAGGAUUGAAUGACACACCACUUGUGGCACGCCUAGGACAGUGCUUGGCAUUACUCAGUCCCUUCUAGUGGGCAGAUUCGGUGGCCCCCUGGGCAGGGUGUGGACCUACCUGCAUGGUGACAUUGGCCGUCUCCACCGGCACACAGUGCAGGUUCUCAUCGCCGCAGCAGCCGGUGCAGCGCAGCAGGGAGACACAGGAUGGGCUGAACAUGUGCUCCACCUCGCUGGGGUACUCAGACACGAUGUCCACCAGCCUCUCCAGCGCCCGGCAGUAGCUGCGGCCCCACACUUCCUGGAAGGGCACCACUGCGAGGAAGCAAGGGGGCUGGGUCAGGCCAGCAGAGACCUGCCCCUUGAAGCCCUCAACCUGGCUCCCAAGGCCCUGCUGGCCUUCCAGGUUCAGCCCCCAGCCCCAUCCGAGCUCCCUCAACUCUGAACUCCUAAUGUGAUCCCUCCGAAAUGUCUGCGGGCCCCUUAGCUCAUCUGCUGGAUGGAAAUCCCCAUGGAACAGAAUCUCUCAGGGUCCCAAGCUUUGCUCUGUCCUCAACUCAGGCACCCACGUCUGCCUUGGCUCCCUGGAGCUUCGAGAAUUGUAGCCCCGGCAGCUGCCCAGGCCCUCUGGAUCUUUCUCAAGCCUGACCCGGUGCUUCCUCCAACUUGGGAGAACUUGCAGAAAACAGUCAUUCCUGGAGUCAUGCAGGGAGGGUUGGCCUUCCCUUAUUCCUCUGCUCAAACACCUUCCACGGCUCCCUCAUUUCCUGCCCCACUCUGUGCCAGCUCCUCUGCCUGGCAACCAAGACCACAUCCAGCAAUGUGGCCCGACCCUCCUCUCCAUUGAGUCCAACCAGCGCUCACACUGAGCCACGGCAGCACCACAUUCACUCCCAGCUCUGGCUUGUGCACUCUGCAGCCCGUACAGCUGCUCUUCUUCCCCCUCCUCUCAUUUCUAUCCAAAUAAAGUCCACCCGCCAUUUUCCACGA